CUCCUGACUCAUCACCCAACACACCUGCUCCAAGCCACACACCUGCAACUCAUCCACUAAUCAAGCGCAGCAGUAUUUCAACCCUGGUCUUCCUUCCACUCAUCGCCAGAUAGUUGUUGUCAACCGAUGUGAAUCACUGCCUGCCUCGCCCAGCAACACUGCCUGCCUCGCCCAGCAACACUGCCUGCCUGCCUGCCUGUCUGCCUCGCCCAGCAACACUGCCUGCCUGCCUGCCUGCCUGCCUGCCUCGCCCAGCAACUCUGCCUGCCUGUCUGUCUGCCUCGCCCAGCAACUCUGCCUGCCAGCCUCACUUGGUCUCAGCUACACAGCACACGUACCGCCGGAAUUGGACCCCAGCCAUACCUCAUCCACCCACGGUUCCCCUCUCACCCCUCGUUCUCUGUCCUCUGGCUCCCUUCCCUCAAUCCCAUCAGAACUCUGAACUGUACAAUAAAUCCCCCUUAUCUCUAACUCA